UUGCUUCUCUUGAGAGCGGCGGACGGGUGAGUAAUGCCUAGGAAUCUGCCUGGUAGUGGGGGAUAACGUCCGGAAACGGACGCUAAUACCGCAUACGUCCUACGGGAGAAAGCAGGGGACCUUCGGGCCUUGCGCUAUCAGAUGAGCCUAGGUCGGAUUAGCUAGUUGGUGGGGUAAUGGCUCACCAAGGCGACGAUCCGUAACUGGUCUGAGAGGAUGAUCAGUCACACUGGAACUGAGACACGGUCCAGACUCCUACGGGAGGCAGCAGUGGGGAAUAUUGGACAAUGGGCGAAAGCCUGAUCCAGCCAUGCCGCGUGUGUGAAGAAGGUCUUCGGAUUGUAAAGCACUUUAAGUUGGGAGGAAGGGCAGUAAAUUAAUACUUUGCUGUUUUGACGUUACCGACAGAAUAAGCACCGGCUAACUCUGUGCCAGCAGCCGCGGUAAUACAGAGGGUGCAAGCGUUAAUCGGAAUUACUGGGCGUAAAGCGCGCGUAGGUGGUUCGUUAAGUUGGAUGUGAAAUCCCCGGGCUCAACCUGGGAACUGCAUUCAAAACUGACGAGCUAGAGUAUGGUAGAGGGUGGUGGAAUUUCCUGUGUAGCGGUGAAAUGCGUAGAUAUAGGAAGGAACACCAGUGGCGAAAGCGACCACCUGGACUGAUACUGACACUGAGGUGCGAAAGCGUGGGGGAGCAAACAGGAUUAGAUACCCUGGUAGUCCACGCCGUAAACGAUGUCAACUAGCCGUUGGGAGCCUUGAGCUCUUAGUGGCGCAGCUAACGCAUUAGUUGACCGCCCUGGG
rnacentral:rRNA from 1 species